GUUGAGUCUGAGUUGGAAGAUAUUGGCAACAUGGAUCACUGCGAAACAAAACAUGAGUGCAUAAAGUACCCCCGUGUCGAAAGUGGCAUCAAAACUCCCGGCUAGGAUCUGCCAGGGAGGAUGGAAAGAGCUCUCUUCCAAAUGUACGUGGGCAAAGAUCCAUUUGCAGCACGAAGGCUCGGUGCCGUAGACAGGCACCUGUCAGGCAAAAUCUGCGAAGUCCGCCCAGCCAUGGCGGGACACAAGAGGUCUAAGAGCACUGGAAAUGCGUAGAGGCAUGAAAAAGCUGGUGCGAUUGCUUGCCUCAAGACCUGUUCGCUUCAUCCUGUGGAGCCGCUAUACCUGCCUCGGGAGACUCCCGGAUUUCAACUGUCUUUUCCGUUUGUACAGUUGUCAUGAAAAUCUCCCUGAAAUCGAAAUCUUUGUGCGUGAUCUGACUUCACUGACAAAAAUGCAGAUCAAUCCGCUCCAGGCUUUUCGCAAACCGCGUUAGAUACGAAUUCGUGAAAUUUCUCAGCAAAAUUUCACUGUGUUCAUUGAACCGAAAUUCUAAUGCCUUGAACAGUUUUCAUUAUGGAGGUAGGUGAACUUUUGUAUAGAAACCGUCGAACGUAGGCUGAAAGCAGCGUGCUAAAAUCUGAAAUAGUUUGCGUGCGAUCAGAGCACGCACUGUCUUCUACAUACAGUACGUGUAGUUGUCGUUGCCACAACCGCGGUUGUUUUUGACACGACCAUGUAUGGUGACAACAUAAGUGACAGAACUCUGAAAGUGUGCGUACGUACAUUGCUUAACCAUUCAAACCAACGCUGCUUUCCGCAAACUCUGUGAAUAAAAACGUUGCAGAUGCUAUCGUAGAUGACACUAAGACUUAGUUUUUAAGGCAUGUGCGCAGCCAGCACACACGGGUUGAAAACGGAACAACCAUUCGCCGCAACCGCCGCGCACAAUGCCGUGAAUGAGCUCCGAGGGCACGCAACUAACGCAGCGGUGGAUUAAAGGCAGUAAAGACAAAAAAAAAAAAAGGCUGGAAGUGUUUUGGCGUACUUGUUGGAAGAAUGAAGUAGUAAGCAAAGCUUUUUGAUCUGCACUUUUGUGGCAGCUAGCUGCGCUGUCUCGUCUGUUCACGUGUGUCCCAGGUAGACAUACGCGAGUUGUUUUGAUGGAAACAGUUUUUGCUAGUUGUUUUUGUGUCAUGAAGUUUCGGGAGUAUUUGUGCUCUCACUUUGAGACUUUCACCUCUCUCGCUUUUUGUGCGUGCAUUUGGGACCCUUCCCACCCCCAGAUUUUGUUUUGUUUCUCGCAAUGUUUUUUUUUUGCUUUUGGUGCAAAAAAAUUGGGACAAAUAAUUCAGUGUGAAACCCUUCCUUGCGGAAAUCUCCUGGAUUCAGAAUCCUUGAACUUGGCAGGUAUGCUGCUUCUUCUGAAUGUGGUCAAUCGGAUUUCAAGUGCACCAAAGCCAUUAUGACCUUGCUGGACAAAUAUUAUAGAGAGUGCAUUGCAUUGACACCUUCUUACUUCAAACUGUCACUUGGGUACCUGUCCAGUUUGAAAUAAUGGAAUUGUGAUUAGCAGAAGUAAUGAAGAAAGAAACUAUGCAUGAUCAUUAAAGGAGAGGAGUCACAUUUUGAGCUGUUCAUUACCUUUCAUUAAAAUAAAAUGAUCAUGAUUGGCAUUAUUUUUCUUUUUGUUCACGUUUCUUGGAAAGGGAUUGCAAUCACUGCUUGAGUAGUCUGGUGGGGCACUUGUGAAGUAUUGUAUUGCUGCAGGUUCUCUUCGAGACGUGUGGGGUGAAGCUUGGGACGGUGAUCAUUACACGCAGUAAAAGAUAUUUUGCCUUUUGUUUCAGAAGUAAUUAUUGUUAAACUUGCUCUUAUUAAACUAUAGUACUUGCUUGCACUAAGAGAGAAAAAAAAACCCAUGUGGAAUCUUUGUUGGGAGUUAUCUAAGCAAUGCGCAAGUGUUGUGCAUUAUUAGCCAUCUCCGUGUCCCUCCCUGUACCCUCUGCGUUUUUUGUGUAACAAAAUCAAAUAAAUAAUGAACACCUAUGCUUGGAUUGCCCUCUUUGAGCAAAGUUUGCAUGGUGUCUUUCUA